rfam:Equus caballus chromosome 19, whole genome shotgun sequence.
GGAUGUGAAGGUGAUCUGGCCACGAAAUCUGCUACCCAUGGGUCGCCAGGGUUGAUUUGGCUGAUCUGGCUGGCUCAGCGGGUGUCCCCCUCCUCCCUUCCCUGCUCCCUGUGCAUCCCUCCAGAAGCUGCGGCUCAGUGUGAGAGGAUGGCCUUCCCAGAUAGAGGAGGGCCAUUCUUUGUUCUUCCGUCAUGGGUAUCCGAGUAGCUGUGCUCGGCUGCUAGACCCUCCAAACAAGCUCUCAAGGUCCAUUUGUAGGAGAACGAAGGGUAGUCAAGCUUCCAAGAUUCUAGACAUAUCCAAAUGAGGUGCUGCGUGGGGCAGUCUGCCUUUCUUA